GCGACACUAGCUCAGUUGGUAGAGCGCAACCUUGCCAAGGUUGAGGUCACGAGUUCGAACCUCGUGUGUCGCUCAA
rnacentral:tRNA from 2 species